rnacentral:rRNA from 1 species
GCGCACCAGUCGAGAAUAGUCUACAAUGGACGAAAGUCUGAUAGUGCGACGCCGUGUGUGCGAUUAAUUCCUUCGGGAUGUAAAGCACUUUUCUAUGAGAUAAAAGCUCUUUAGGUUAAUAGCUUAUUGAGACGGAUAUUAUUAUAGGAAUAAGCUCCGGCUAACUCCGUGCCAGCAGCCGCGGUAAUACGGAAGGAGCGAGCGUUGUCCGGAUUUACUAGGCGUAAAGGGCUAGUAGGCGACUAAUUAAGUUAUAUGUUAAAUCCCACGGCUCAACUGUGGUCCUGCAUGUAAUACUGGUUAGAUAGAGUACUGUAGAGGAAGGCAGAAUUCCUGGAGUAGCGGUGGAAUGCGCAGAUAUCAGGAAGAAUACCAAAAGCGAAGGCAGCCUUCUGGGCAGUUACUGACGCUGAAUAGCGAAGGUGUGGGUAGCGAACAGGAUUAGAUACCCGGGUAGU